UACAGAGGUCUCAAGCGUUGUUCGGAUUCAUUGGGCGUAAAGGGUGCGUAGGCGGCGCGGUAAGUCGGGUGUGAAAUCUCGGAGCUUAACUCCGAAACUGCAUUCGAUACGGCCGUGCUUGAGGACUGGAGAGGAGACUGGAAUUUACGGUGUAGCGGUGAAAUGCGUAGAUAUCGGGAGGAACACCUGUGGCGAAGGCGGCUUUCUGGGCCUUACCUGACGCUGAGACGCGAAAGCGUGGGGAGCGAACCGG
rnacentral:rRNA from 1 species